rnacentral:rRNA from 1 species
CACCAGCGCCACGAGUGGCGUUCACGAUUAUUGGGCCUAAAGCGUCCGUAGUCGGCUCUGUGCAUCUUCUGUGAAAUCGUUGCGCUUAACGUAACGGCAUGCGGAAGACACGGCAGAGCUUGAGACCGGGAGGCGUAGAGGGUACUCCGGGGGGACCGGUAAAAUGGUAUAAUCCCCGGAAGACCACCUGUGGCGAAGGCGCUCUACGAAUACGGAUCUGACGAUGAGGGACGAAAGCCAGGGGAGCAAACCGG